AGAGUUUGAUCCUGGCUCAGGAUGAACGCUGGCGGCGUGCCUAACACAUGCAAGUCGAGCGAUUCUCUUCGGAGAAGAGCGGCGGACGGGUGAGUAACGCGUGGGUAACCUGCCCUGUACACACGGAUAACAUACCGAAAGGUAUGCUAAUACGAGAUAAUAUGCUUUUAUCGCAUGGUAGAAGUAUCAAAGCUUUUGCGGUACAGGAUGGACCCGCGUCUGAUUAGCUAGUUGGUAAGGUAACGGCUUACCAAGGCGACGAUCAGUAGCCGACCUGAGAGGGUGAUCGGCCACAUUGGAACUGAGACACGGUCCAAACUCCUACGGGAGGCAGCAGUGGGGAAUAUUGCACAAUGGGCGAAAGCCUGAUGCAGCAACGCCGCGUGAGCGAUGAAGGCCUUCGGGUCGUAAAGCUCUGUCCUCAAGGAAGAUAAUGACGGUACUUGAGGAGGAAGCCCCGGCUAACUACGUGCCAGCAGCCGCGGUAAUACGUAGGGGGCUAGCGUUAUCCGGAAUUACUGGGCGUAAAGGGUGCGUAGGUGGUUUCUUAAGUCAGAGGUGAAAGGCUACGGCUCAACCGUAGUAAGCCUUUGAAACUGGGAAACUUGAGUGCAGGAGAGGAGAGUGGAAUUCCUAGUGUAGCGGUGAAAUGCGUAGAUAUUAGGAGGAACACCAGUUGCGAAGGCGGCUCUCUGGACUGUAACUGACACUGAGGCACGAAAGCGUGGGGAGCAAACAGGAUUAGAUACCCUGGUAGUCCACGCCGUAAACGAUGAGUACUAGCUGUCGGAGGUUACCCCCUUCGGUGGCGCAGCUAACGCAUUAAGUACUCCGCCUGGGAAGUACACUCGCAAGAGUGAAACUCAAAGGAAUUGACGG
rnacentral:rRNA from 1 species